ACGUAGGUGGCGAGCGUUAUCCGGAAUCAUUGGGCGUAAAGAGGGAGCAGGCGGCCGCAAGGGUCUGUGGUGAAAGACCGAAGCUAAACUUCGGUAAGCCAUGGAAACCGGGUGGCUAGAGUGCGGAAGAGGAUCGUGGAAUUCCAUGUGUAGCGGUGAAAUGCGUAGAUAUAUGGAGGAACACCAGUGGCGAAGGCGACGGUCUGGGCCGCAACUGACGCUCAUUCCCGAAAGCGUGGGGAGCAAAUAG
rnacentral:rRNA from 1 species